GACGAACGCUGGCGGCGUGCCUAAUACAUGCAAGUCGAACGCUUCUUUCCUCCCGAGUGCUUGCACUCAAUUGGAAAGAGGGGUGGCGGACGGGUGAGUAACACGUGGGUAACCUACCCAUCAGAGGGGGAUAACACUUGGAAACAGGUGCUAAUACCGCAUAACAGUUUAUGCCGCAUGGCAUAAGAGUGAAAGGCGCUUUCGGGUGUCGUUGAUGGAUGGACCCGCGGUGCAUUAGCUAGUUGGUGAGGUAACGGCUCACCAAGGCCACGAUGCAUAGCCGACCUGAGAGGGUGAUCGGCCACACUGGGACUGAGACACGGCCCAGACUCCUACGGGAGGCAGCAGUAGGGAAUCUUCGGCAAUGGACGAAAGUCUGACCGAGCAACGCCGCGUGAGUGAAGAAGGUUUUCGGAUCGUAAAACUCUGUUGUUAGAGAAGAACAAGGACGUUAGUAACUGAACGUCCCCUGACGGUAUCUAACCAGAAAGCCACGGCUAACUACGUG
rnacentral:rRNA from 1 species